rnacentral:rRNA from 1 species
UACGUAGGGUGCAAGCGUUGUCCGGAAUUAUUGGGCGUAAAGGGCUCGUAGGCGGCUUGUCGCGUCGUCCGUGAAAACCUGCAGCUCAACUGCAGGCUUGCGGUCGAUACGGGCAGGCUAGAGUUCGGUAGGGGAGACUGGAAUUCCUGGUGGUGAGCGGUGGAAAUGCGCAGAUAUCAGGAAGAACACCCGGUGGCUAAGGCGGUUCUCUAGUACGGUACUGACGCUGAGACGCGAAAGCGUGGGGAGCGAACAGG